rnacentral:rRNA from 1 species
AUUGAACGCUGGCGGCAUGCCUUACACAUGCAAGUCGAACGGUAGCGGGCCUUCGGGCGCCGACGAGUGGCGAACGGGUGCGUAAUACAUCGGAACGUGCCCGAUCGUGGGGGAUAACGAGGCGAAAGCUUUGCUAAUACCGCAUACGAUCUACGGAUGAAAGCAGGGGACCGCAAGGCCUUGCGCGGACGGAGCGGCCGAUGGCAGAUUAGGUAGUUGGUGGGAUAAAAGCUUACCAAGCCGACGAUCUGUAGCUGGUCUGAGAGGAUGAUCAGCCACACUGGGACUGAGACACGGCCCAGACUCCUACGGGAGGCAGCAGUGGGGAAUUUUGGACAAUGGGCGCAAGCCUGAUCCAGCCAUGCCGCGUGCAGGAUGAAGGCCUUCGGGUUGUAAACUGCUUUUGUACGGAACGAAAAGCCUUCUUUUAAUACAGGAGGGUCAUGACGGUACCGUAAGAAUAAGCACCGGCUAACUACGUG